rnacentral:ncRNA from 20 species
UUUCGUUCGGUCAUCUUCGGUGCCCUUGUUCGGAAGGGUGAAACGGGAAUGCAGUGCGGCGAGCAAUCGCCAAAGCUGCGGCUGCCCCCGCAACUGUAAGCGGAUUGUCCGCGAUCACUAAGUCACUGAGGCGAGUUUCGGCCUUGGGAAGACGAUCGGGACCGUAUCCGUGAGCCAGGAGACCGGCCGAGGAUUUGUCGCAAUGC